UUGAACUGUGUCAUCUUGGAAGCGUGUGUCAACAGAAUUCUAUCCAACCACCAGCCGGUGACAUUGCCAGAAUUAAAACUGCAUUGGGCCAUUCACAGGAACCUCCUUAUUUAUGGACCACCGGUGGGAGGCGCUGUAUUUAAUUGUUGGAGUCAAUGAUCUCGAGGUCCAACCGUGACAACAUCUAGAUACCUGCAGCAGCCGUCCUACUGACUUAAACAUUAAUAGCCGACAAAUUGAACUGUGUCAUCUUGGAAGCGUGUGUCAACAGAAUUCUAUCCAACCACCAGCCGGUGACAUUGCCUGAAUUAAAACUGCAUUGGGCCAUUCACAGGAACCUCCUUAUUUAUGGACCACCGGUGGGAGGCGCUGUAUUUAAUUGUUGGAGUCAAUGAUCUCGAGGUCCAACCGUGACAACAUCUAGAUACCUGCAGCAGCCGUCCUACUGACUUAAACAUUAAUAGCCGACAAAUUGAACUGUGUCAUCUUGGAAGCGUGUGUCAACAGAACUCUAUCCAACCACCAGCCGGUGACAUUGCCAGAAUUAAAACUGCAUUGGGCCAUUCACAGGAACCUCCUUAUUUAUGGACCACCGGUGGGAGGCGCUGUAUUUAAUUGUUGGAGUCAAUGAUCUCGAGGUCCAACCGUGACAACAUCUAGAUACCUGCAGCAGCCGUCCUACUGACUUAAACAUUAAUAGCCGACAAAUUGAACUGUGUCAUCUUGGAAGCGUGUGUCAACAGAAUUCUAUCCAACCACCAGCCGGUGACAUUGCCAGAAUUAAAACUGCAUUGGGCCAUUCACAGGAACCUCCUUAUUUAUGGACCACCGGUGGGAGGCGCUGUAUUUAAUUGUUGGAGUCAAUGAUCUCGAGGUCCAACCGUGACAACAUCUAGAUACCUGCAGCAGCCGUCCUACUGACUUAAACAUUAAUAGCCGACAAAUUGAACUGUGUCAUCUUGGAAGCGUGUGUCAACAGAAUUCUAUCCAACCACCAGCCGGUGACAUUGCCAGAAUUAAAACUGCAUUGGGCCAUUCACAGGAACCUCCUUAUUUAUGGACCACCGGUGGGAGGCGCUGUAUUUAAUUGUUGGAGUCAAUGAUCUCGAGGUCCAACCGUGACAACAUCUAGAUACCUGCAGCAGCCGUCCUACUGACUUAAACAUUAAUAGCCGACAAAUUGAACUGUGUCAUCUUGGAAGCGUG